UUCUUUCUUCGUGGUUCUCUUGGGGCAGAAGCAGGUUGUGAAGUGUGAGAGGAGUAUGGGUCCCAUCAACAUAAGGGGUGAAAUAGAGAGUUGAUUGGGAAGGAACUGAGUUACAGUGAAUUUGUGGAGAGAUAUAUGGAGAAGAACCAGCCUGUGGUGCUCACUGGCCUAAUGGGCCUAAUGGACCCUCUUCAUUGGAGGGCUUCUACUGAUUGGGUCACACAUAAUUCCCAACGCAACUUUCAAUUUUUCUCCACUCAUUUUGGUGCUUCUAAAGUUCAGGUUUAUAUAUCCAUCCAUACAAUACGGGAGGAAGGUUGCUGAUUGUGACACCAGAGAAUUCACUGAUCAGAAAAGAGAGGAGAUGUUGGUCUCAGAUUUUGUAGCACGUUGCCUUCUGUGUAAUGAUGGUAAUCGUUCAAGUAAUGCUGCCUCUGUGCCUAUACCGUAUUAGAAGGAUUGGCAUUUUGUAAAUGUGUGUCUUUUAGCUUUUUGUCACUUCUCUAUUGAUUAAUGUUCCUCAUAUUUAUCCUAUCUUUCCUGAGUUUUGUAAUCUUUGAUGGGUCAAUUUGGUGUCCCGCCACAAAUUUAGAGAUGGAAAACCACCCGUCCUUUUUUUUUAACUCAUUUUCCCUGCAUUCUCGCAUUUUAGCUAAUCAGAAUUGUAGGAUGAAAGACUCAUAUUUUAUCUAAAAAAAUCUAACUUAAAAUAUAUAUCUGAAAUGUGAACCAUCUGAUCUUCAUCUGAUGGGUCUGACUUCCGAUGCCUGAAUGCAAGGAUCCAAUUCAAUUUUUUAAGGAGGUACCAAACUUACUGUAAAAGUUAAGUUUUUUACUUUUACAUUAUCUCUUCUUUUCAAAAGUGUCAUGGUUCAUAUUGUCAAUCUGAAUGAUGCUUGGACUUGGGAAGCAGGGCUGGUUGUGCUUUGUGGAUAACAAAAGUUGACCACUUAACAUUCCCAUUCACAUUUGGUUCUUAAUCAAGGCUUUUUAAGUUAUUUUCCAUUGGAGUACCCUGAAUAUGUAGCAUACGUCACUCCAAUGUUCUCUUCUGAUGACUGGCUCAACCCUGUAUCUUGACAACUUCAGGGAUUCUUCUGACGCACACCAACCAAAUGAGGAAAUAUGUUGCUCUGACUAUCAAUUUGUUUUCAUGGGGGUGAAAGGAUCUUGGACUCCUCUUCAUGCUGAUGUUUUUAGGUCCUAUAGCUAGUAAGCAAAUGUCUGUGGAAAGAAUUGAUGGCUUUUUCUAGAUCCUUCCCAGUGUCAUCUUGUAUUUGACAGGCAUGAAUGCAUUACCAAAUAGAAAUAAAUGGCAUCUUUUCCAAAUAAGAAUUUGGGCACGGAUAAAAAAAUCUAUUUGGAUCCAUCAAUACUUAGUCUUUUUCCAAAUUACCUAUCAGCUAUGAUUUACUAUUUACCCCCCAUCUUUGCCAAACUUCUUAUUCUUAGAAGAUGACAUUCCCUUAUUCCUCUCACAUUCUUUCUUUGUUUGGGUUCGCUCUGCAUAAAAGGAAUCAUUGUUGCUUCUUUUUUUUGUUGGUUUUUCUUGGAAGGUGGGUUUGGAUUGCUUUGAUGUGUUGUCUUUUUGCUUAGUUGUCAAAACUAAGUUCUUGGCAACUUUGAUUCAGGAAUAUGAAAAAUUGUGUAUACAAUAUCUUUGAUGAAGUAUCUAACUCAAAGUUUCCUGGUUUUAGGAAGGUAAAUUUCUAGUUUCCAUUUUUUCAUCAAUCUUAUUGUUUUCGAUUAGACUUUUCUGCUUCAGCCUUCAGUUGGUUUGUAUGUGUGUGCUGGCUAUCUGGUUAGAAUGCACAGAAGAUGCAGGUGAAAUUAUAUUUGUUCCCAGUGGAUGGUAUCAUCAAUUUCAUAAUUUGGUAUGUUCUGGUUCACUAUCUGAAUUGCUGUUAUAUUUCUGCUUGAUUUUGGAAGUCUGUCCUGCAGUCCCUUUAAACAAGCCAACAAGGAACAUUUUGAUAUACCAAAUAAGUAAUGACCGUGUAAUACUUACAUUUCCACUUGGUUUGGCCCCAGAAAAUUGUAUUGACACUAUUAGCUUCUUAGAUUGUGCAGACUACAAGAGCCUUCCCUUGCUGUUUAUAUUUUGCUGUGUUCCAAAUGGAACAUAUGUUUGAUUUAUUGCAUCUCUGAUAAAUCUAAUGUUCUCAAGGAAGCUAGAAAACCCAUGGGAACUAGUGAUGAAAAGAUGUGGUUUCCAUGAAUUCUCUAUUAGGAUCAUUGACAUAUAGUGAAAACUUCCCACUGAGCCUAAAAAAUUCAUGGUUAGUUGAUUGAUUGGAUUAGGUUUAUGUUCAGAAACAAUUAUUUGAAAUGGUUGUUUGCAAUUUUUUUUAGGAAACUGACAAAAUAAGUGACUAUUUCUCCAAAAAUAAGGUGAACUGCACACGCUAGAGUCUAUAAGCAUAACAAUAAAACUAUUCGGAUAGAAACUGAUGUAGCUUUUGAAAACAUUUAUUUUCAGAACAAAUAGAUUUCUGUCUACAUCAGCUUUAUCAUCAGAUGAUUUUGUCCAUGAUAUUUGAUAUGAUCUAAUCAUUUGAUGGUGUCUACCUCUUUCAGGAGGAUACGAUAUCUAUAAACCACAAUUGGUUCAAUGCCUAUAACCUUUCUUGGGUGGUAAAUUGAGAAAUGCAAUGAACUACAUAUUUGAGACUCAAGCUCUACAAUAAAUAUAAUUGAACUAAGUUUAUCUCAUGAAUUUUCAUUCUAUAACAGCGGAAUUUAGUUUUAAGGGACUACAAUGAGGCCAAGGAAUAUAUAGAAGACAUCAAGGAUAUAUGUGAUGAUUGAAUUUUUCAUAUUCUGUUGGGGCAAACUAUUGUGGACAUCUUAAAUUAAAGAUCUAACUCAAUAGUAUAAAAAUCAGUGGUCAUCCUAGGUUGAUUUGUUAAUUGUUAAGGAAUUUUCUGAUGAUCAACUAUGAAUAAAGAAAGGAUCAUGGUAUUCUUUUUAA